UACAGAGGGUGCGAGCGUUAAUCGGAAUUACUGGGCGUAAAGCGUGCGUAGACGGUUAUUUAAGUCGGGUGUGAAAUCCCCGGGCUCAACCCGGGAACUGCGUCCGAUACUGGAAGGCUUGAAUCCGGGAGAGGGAUGCGGAAUUCCAGGUGUAGCGGUGAAAUGCGUAGAUAUCUGGAGGAACACCGGUGGCGAAGGCGGCAUCCUGGACCGGCAUUGACGCUGAGGCGCGAAAGCCAGGGGAGCAAACGGG
rnacentral:rRNA from 1 species